CGGGAUGUAGCCUAGUUCGGCUUAGGGCGCCGCAUUUGGGAUGCGGAGAUCGGAGGUUCGAAUCCUCUCAUCCCGACCA
rnacentral:tRNA from 1 species